ACUCCUACGGGAGGCAGCAGUGAGGAAUAUUGGUCAAUGGGCGGAAGCCUGAACCAGCCAUGCCGCGUGCGGGAAGAAGGCGCUACGCGUCGUAAACCGCUUUUGUCCGGGGGUAACCGCGGGGACGUGUCCCCGCCUGCAAGUACCGGACGAAUAAGGGUCGGCUAACUCCGUGCCAGCAGCCGCGGUAAUACGGAGGACCCGAGCGUUAUCCGGAUUCAUUGGGUUUAAAGGGUGCGCAGGCGGCCCGGUCAGUCAGCGGUGAAAUGCCCGCGCUUCACGCGGGAGCUGCCGUUGAUACUGCCGGGCUAGAAUCUCAGCGAGGCGGGCGGAAUGCGCGGUGUAGCGGUGAAAUGCAUAGAUAUCGCGCAGAACGCCGAUUGGGGAGCCAGCUCGCCAGCUGGGUAUUGACGCUGAGGCACGAAAGUGUGGGUAUCAAACAGGAUUAGAUACCCUGGUAGUC
rnacentral:rRNA from 1 species